GGUGGUUCUCGGGUGAAGCACCCCAGAAUUGAGCUUCCUCUUUUCUGGUUCCCGGUGCGUCACCCGAGAACCGCA
rfam:Myotis brandtii contig238570, whole genome shotgun sequence.